GACGAACGCUGGCGGCGUGCUUAACACAUGCAAGUCGAACGAAGUGGCGAACGGGUGAGUAAUACGUGGGUAACCUGCCCUCCUUUUUGGGAUAAGCCUUGGAAACGGGGUCUAAUACCGACUAAAGGGGGAUGGGCUCGCGGCCUAUCAGCUUGGUGGUGGGGUGAUGGCCUACCAAGGCGGUGACGGGUAGCCGGCCUGAGAGGGUGACCGGGAACAGUGGGACGGAGAGACGUCCUAGAGUCGGACGGGAGGGGGAAGAGGGGAAAAUGGCAGAAUGGGUGAAGGCCUGAUGCAGCGACGCCGCGUGGGGGAUGAAGGCUGUCGGGUUGUAAACCUGUGGCGCAAGCGAGCGGGUAGGUGGAGAAGAAGCGCCGGCUAACUACGUGCCAGCAGCCGCGGUAAUUC
rnacentral:rRNA from 1 species